AUAUUGGGUUCUGCUAGUGUCAAGUCAGACUCCUAUAGAAAUUGACAAUAAUGUUGAAACUUGCCAUGAUGCUGAGCGUUAUAAUACUGCAGAUACAAUUAGGCUUAUUUCAAACAGAGGGCUACACCGACCCCUGCAACCAACCAUGUUAUCGAGUACUUGCGCCUGUGUGUGGGAGUGACGGACAGACGUACAUGAACUACUGCAAGUUGGCAAUCACAGCCUGUCAGUACCCUGAGCGGAACCUCACUGUUGUG